rnacentral:rRNA from 1 species
UACGUAGGUGACAAGCGUUGUCCGGAUUUACUGGGCGUAAAGAGCGCGCAGGCGGUCGAUCAAGUCGAGUGUGAAAGCCCCCGGCUCAACUGGGGAGGGUCAUUCGAUACUGAUCGACUCGAAGGCAGGAGAGGGUAGUGGAAUUCCCGGUGUAGUGGUGAAAUGCGUAGAUAUCCGGAGGAACACCAGUGGCGAAAGCGGCCACCUGGACUGCACCUGACGCUGACACGCGAAAGCGUGGGGAGCAAACAGG